UGCCAGCAGCCGCGGUAAUACGAAGGUGGCAACCGUUGUUCGGAAUUACUGGGCAUAAAGAGCACGUAGGCGGACUACUAAGUCGGGUGUGAAAUCCCUCGGCCCAACCGAGGAACUGCGUCUGAUACUGAAAGGCUUGAGGAUCGGAGGGGUGUGUGGAAUACCUGGUGGAGCGGUGAAAUGCGUUGAUAUCAGGUGGAACACCGGAGGCGAAGGCGACACACUGGUCGAUCACUGACGCUGAGAUGCGAAAGCAUGGGGAGCGAACGGGAUUAGAUA
rnacentral:rRNA from 1 species